UACGGAGGGUGCAAGCGUUAAUCGGAAUUACUGGGCGUAAAGCGCACGCAGGCGGUGAAUUAAGUCAGAUGUGAAAGCCUGGAGCUUAACUUGAGAAUUGCAUUUGAAACUGGUUGUCUAGAGUCUUGUAGAGGGAGGUAGAAUUCCAUGUGUAGCGGUGAAAUGCGUAGAGAUCUGGGGGAAUACCGAUUGCGAAGGCGGCCCCCUGGACGAAGACUGACGCUCAGGUGCGAAAGCGUGGGGAGCAAACAGG
rnacentral:rRNA from 1 species